AUCAGUUAUCGUUUAUUUGAUAGUACCUUACUACUUGGAUAACCGUGGUAAUUCUAGAGCUAAUACAUGCUAAAAACCCCAACUUCGGGAGGGGUGUAUUUAUUAGAUAAAAAACCAAUGCCCUUCGGGGCUCCUUGGUGAUUCAUAAUAACUUAACGGAUCGCAUGGCCUUGAGCCGGCGACGGUUCAUUCAAAUUUCUGCCCUAUCAACUUUCGAUGGUAAGGUAUUGGCUUACCAUGGUUUCAACGGGUAACGGGGAAUUAGGGUUCGAUUCCGGAGAGGGAGCCUGAGAAACGGCUACCACAUCCAAGGAAGGCAGCAGGCGCGCAAAUUACCCAAUCCCGACACGGGGAGGUAGUGACAAUAAAUACUGAUACAGGGCUCUUUUGGGUCUUGUAAUCGGAAUGAGUACAAUUUAAACCCCUUAACGAGGAACAAUUGGAGGGCAAGUCUGGUGCCAGCAGCCGCGGUAAUUCCAGCUCCAAUAGCGUAUAUUAAAGUUGUUGCAGUUAAAAAGCUCGUAGUUGAACCUUGGGCCUGGCUGGCCGGUCCGCCUCACCGCGUGUACUGGUCCGGCCGGGCCUUUCCUUCUGGAGAUCCUCAUGCCCUUCACUGGGUGUGUUGGGGAACCAGGACUUUUACUGUGAACAAAUUAGAGUGUUCAAAGCAGGCCUUUGCUCGAAUACAUUAGCAUGGAAUAAUAGAAUAGGACGUGCGGUCCUAUUUUGUUGGUUUCUAGGACCGCCGUAAUGAUUAAUAGGGAUAGUCGGGGGCAUCAGUAUUCAAUUGUCAGAGGUGAAAUUCUUGGAUUUAUUGAAGACUAACUACUGCGAAAGCAUUUGCCAAGGAUGUUUUCAUUAAUCAGUGAACGAAAGUUAGGGGAUCGAAGACGAUCAGAUACCGUCGUAGUCUUAACCGUAAACUAUGCCGACUAGGGAUCGGGCGAUGUUUCUAUCUUGACUCGCUCGGCACCUUACGAGAAAU
rnacentral:rRNA from 1 species